rnacentral:misc_RNA from 1 species
UACGUAGGUGGCAAGCGUUGUCCGGAAUUAUUGGGUUUAAAGGGUGCGUAGGCGGCCCGUUAAGUCAGCGGUGAAAUCCCAGGGCUCAACCCUGGAACUGCCGUUGAUACUGGCGGGCUUGAGUUCGGUCGAGGCGGGCGGAACUGGUGGUGUAGCGGUGAAAUGCAUAGAUACCACCAAGAACCCCGAUUGCGAAGGCAGCUCGCUGGCCCGAAACUGACGCUGAGGCACGAAAGCGUGGGGAGCGAACAGG